GAUGAAGAACGUAGCGAAAUGCGAUAAGUAAUGUGAAUUGCAGAAUUCAGUGAAUCAUCGAAUCUUUGAACGCAUCUUGCGCUCCUUGGUAUUCUGAGGAGCAUGCCUGUUUGAGUGUCAUUAAAUUCUCAACCGCACUGACUUUGAAUUGGUGUGGCUUGGAUUUGGGGGGAAAAUUGUUGUGGGCUUUUUUGUAUAGUCUGCUCCCCUGAAAUUGAUUAGCGGUACCUUUGUGGAACUGUCUAGAGGUGUGAUAAUUAUCUACAUCCUAGACAUCUGCUGGAAUGCUGCUUUCUAAACCUUACUUGUAUUGACAAUCUUGACCUCAAAUCAGGUAGGACUACCCGCUGAACUUAAGCAUAUCAAUAAGCGGAGGA
rnacentral:misc_RNA from 1 species